AUUGAACGCUGGCGGCAGGCCUAACACAUGCAAGUCGAGGGGAGCGGCGGACGGGUGAGUAGUGCAUAGGAAUCUGCCUGUCAGUGGGGGAUAACGUCCGGAACCGGGCGCUAGUACCGCAUACUAGCAGCUGAUCCGAGGUCGGGUUAGCUAGUUGGUGGGGGAAAGGCCGACCAAGGCGACGAUCCGUAACUGGUCUGGGAGGAGGAUCAGUCACACUUGAACUGAGACACGGUCCAGACUCCGAAGGGAGGCAGCAGUGGGGAAUAUUGGACAAUGGGCGAAGGCCUGAUCCAGCCAUGCCGCGUGUGUGAAGAAGGUCUUCGGAUUGUAAAUCACUUUAAGUUGGGAGGCGUUACCAACAGAAUAAGCACCGGCUAACUUCGUGCCAGCAGCCGCGGUAAUUC
rnacentral:rRNA from 1 species